rnacentral:rRNA from 1 species
UCAGGAUGAACGCUGGCGGCGUGCCUAAUACAUGCAAGUCGAGCGAACUUUUGGGAGCUUGCUCCCAAAAGUUAGCGGCGGACGGGUGAGUAACACGUGGGCAACCUGCCUAUAAGACUGGGAUAACUUCGGGAAACCGGAGCUAAUACCGGAUAACAUAUGAGACCACAUGGUCUCAUAUUAAAAGAUGGCUUUUAGCUAUCACUUAUAGAUGGGCCCGCGGCGCAUUAGCUAGUUGGUGAGGUAAUGGCUCACCAAGGCGACGAUGCGUAGCCGACCUGAGAGGGUGAUCGGCCACACUGGGACUGAGACACGGCCCAGACUCCUACGGGAGGCAGCAGUAGGGAAUCUUCCGCAAUGGACGAAAGUCUGACGGAGCAACGCCGCGUGAGCGAAGAAGGUCUUCGGAUCGUAAAGCUCUGUUGUUAGGGAAGAACAAGUACCGUUCAAAUAGGGCGGUACCUUGACGGUACCUAACCAGAAAGCCACGGCUAACUACGUGCCAGCAGCCGCGGUAAUACGUAGGUGGCAAGCGUUAUCCGGAAUUAUUGGGCGUAAAGCGCGCGCAGGCGGUCCUUUAAGUCUGAUGUGAAAGCCCACGGCUCAACCGUGGAGGGUCAUUGGAAACUGGGGGACUUGAGUGCAGAAGAGGAGAGCGGAAUUCCACGUGUAGCGGUGAAAUGCGUAGAGAUGUGGAGGAACACCAGUGGCGAAGGCGGCUCUCUGGUCUGUAACUGACGCUGAGGCGCGAAAGCGUGGGGAGCGAACAGGAUUAGAUACCCUGGUAGUCCACGCCGUAAACGAUGAGUGCUAAGUGUUAGAGGGUUUCCGCCCUUUAGUGCUGCAGCAAACGCAUUAAGCACUCCGCCUGGGGAGUACGGUCGCAAGACUGAAACUCAAAGGAAUUGACGGGGGCCCGCACAAGCGGUGGAGCAUGUGGUUUAAUUCGAAGCAACGCGAAGAACCUUACCAGGUCUUGACAUCCCGUGACAACNNNNAGAGAUAGAGCUUUCCCCUUCGGGGGACACGGUGACAGGUGGUGCAUGGUUGUCGUCAGCUCGUGUCGUGAGAUGUUGGGUUAAGUCCCGCAACGAGCGCAACCCUUGAUCUUAGUUGCCAGCAUUAAGUUGGGCACUCUAAGGUGACUGCCGGUGACAAACCGGAGGAAGGUGGGGAUGACGUCAAAUCAUCAUGCCCCUUAUGACCUGGGCUACACACGUGCUACAAUGGAUGGUACAAAGGGCAGCNAAACCGCGAGGUUAAGCCAAUCCCAUAAAACCAUUCUCAGUUCGGAUUGCAGGCUGCAACUCGCCUGCAUGAAGCCGGAAUCGCUAGUAAUCGCGGAUCAGCAUGCCGCGGUGAAUACGUUCCCGGGCCUUGUACACACCGCCCGUCACACCACGAGAGUUUGUAACACCCGAAGUCGGUGGGGUAACCGUAAGGAGCCAGCCGCCUAAGGUGGGACAGAUGAUUGGGGUGAAGUCG